rnacentral:rRNA from 1 species
CCUACGGGAGGCAGCAGUAAGGAAUCUUCCACAAUGGACGAAAGUCUGAUGGAGCAACGCCGCGUGCAGGAUGAAGGCUUUCGGGUCGUAAACUGCUUUUAUAUGGGAAGAUUAUGACGGUACCAUAUGAAUAAGGACCGGCUAACUACGUGCCAGCAGCCGCGGUAAUACGUAGGGUCCAAGCGAUAUCCGGAAUUACUGGGCGUAAAGCGUGUGUAGGUGGAUUAAUAAGUGUGAUGCGAAAUCCGGCGGCUCAACCGUUUGGACUGUGUCGCAUACUGUUAGUCUAGAGGACGGCAGAGGUAAGUGGAAUUACGGGUGUAGCAGUGAAAUGCGUAGAUAUCCGUAGGAACACCAAUGGCGAAGGCAGCUUACUGGGCCACACCUGACACUGAGACACGAAAGCGUGGGGAGCGAACAGGAUUAGAUACCCUGGUAGUCCACGCCGUAAACGAUGCAUACUAUUAGUAUGGGGUAUCGACCCCCUGUGCUGAGAAGCUAACGCGAUAAGUAUGCCGCCUGGGGAGUACGAGCGCAAGCUUAAAACUCAAAUGAAUUGACGGCUGAGACCGNGCGAGACGACGACGAGGGAGAGG